rnacentral:rRNA from 1 species
GACAGAUUAUGUUAAACAACCCUUUUAAAGGAAUAAACCUAAUAACCCCUGUCCAAAUGUCUUUGGUUGGGGCGACCGCGGGGAAAUAAAUAACCCCCAUGUGGACUGGGAGAACUAACUCUCUCACAACCCAGAGCUACAGCUCUAAGUAACAAAAUUUUUGACCUAUAAGAUCCGGCAAUGCCGAUCAACGAACCGAGUUACUCUAGGGAUAACAGCGCAAUCCCCUUUUAGAGUCCCUAUCGACAAGGGGGUUUACGACCUCGAUGUUGGAUCAGGACAUCCUAAUGGUGCA